GCUUGCCCUAGAGGUGUUACAGUUAGGGCUGCUGUGUCACAUGUCCAUUGAUAAGUAGAGAGGAAGGAGGCCUAUGUUCAGUGUUCCAAUACCUAUGAAUUUCCAAAUGAUUAGUAGCCUAACAUU